CGGGCCGGGCCGCCUUCGCGCGCUGGCGUGCAGGCCGCGCAUGCGUUGAGGGCGCCACGACCCCGCGAUGGCCCCGGUAGGAGUUUGGGGGUAGUCGCGCGGUGUGUCCGCCUCACCUGCAGUAGGUGUCGGGGAUGGCGGCCGUGGCGGCCUUGGGCGGAGUCCGGGGAGUGUUUGGAGCCGGGAUAACUAAGAAACCUCGUGGCUCGCUGAGUGGCCCGAGGCGGUCGGCUGCCAUCUCUGCCCAGCGAGGGCUUUUCCACCCGGACGUUGCCAUUCGUCACCUGCCGUACUAGUUGGAACCCUCAUGCCACGUCUGCAGAAAUAACCAUAACCUUGCUGCCUGCUGAGGCUGUUUAUUGAGGGCCCACCGAGUCCCAAGCGCUGUGCAUAAUUAGCUUCAAUUCUUAAAUCUCUGCAAGUUUCUGGACCAGCAGAGCUGAGGGUACCCAAGCUUGUGCUGAGGUGACUCAACUGAGGUCAGCCCCAUGGCUAUUCCACAUGCUUCAAACGAAACUUAUUUGCUGCCUCCAAACAAGGAGGACUGGGAAGGGCAGGGCAUUCCUGACUUUGUCUAUGGGCAGGAGGAACUUGUGAUGGAAGGGGUUCAGUGGCCAAGGGGCGCGCUCAGCCUCCUGAACACGCCGCCACUGUCUCACUUUGACUCUGCCCUCUGCUCAGCCUGGAGGCAGCGGAUGGAGCUGGGGCUGUUCCGCUACCCACUGGGGGAGCUGCCGACCCAAACCCUUCCUGGGACCGUGGGUUUUGUGGCUCAGCUGAAUGUGGAGCGAGGUGUGCAGAGAAGGUGCCCCCAGAACAUCAAGAGCGUGAGGCAGGAGUUUGACCCUGAACAGUUUAACUUCAACCAGAUCCGGCCAGGAGAGGUCCUUUUUCGUCUGCACCGGAAGCAGGAUUGCCCCGGCACUGUCCAGCAAGAGGACAUCCUGGUAGUGAUCAACGUCAGCCCCUUGGAGUGGGGCCACGUGCUGCUGGUGCCCGAACCCGCCCGAGGGCUCCCCCAGCGCCUGCUGCCUGGGGCGCUGCGGGCCGGGGUCGAGGCUGUAAUGCUGAGCUCACACCCAGGCUUCCGCGUGGGCUUCAACAGCCUGGGUGGCCUGGCCUCAGUGAACCACCUCCACCUGCAUGGCUACUACCUGGCCCACCGGCUGCCCGUGGAGGGGGCCCCCAGUGAACCCCUGGACCCUCGGGGCCGUCUGCAUGUGCUCCAGACCCUCCCAGCUCCUGGCUUCCUCUUUUACACCAGUAGGCCAGGGCCUGACUUGGAAGCCUUGAUAAGCAGGGUGUGUCGGGCCACUGACUACCUGACUGACUGUGAGAUUGCACAUAACUUGUUUGUCACCCGGGGGGCCCCACCUGGAAAGACGACAUCUUCCUCAGCUCUCUUGGGAGUCCGGGUCAUUCUGUGGCCCCGGAAGCCCAGCUUUGGGAUAAAGGAAGGUGAGGCAUUCAAUGUUGCCCUCUGUGAGCUGGCUGGGCACCUCCCGGUCAAAACGGCCCAAGACUUCAGCAGCCUGACCGAGGCGGCAGCUCUGGCCCUCAUCAGAGAAUGUCUGCUGCCCCCAGCCCAGGCAGAAGACGUGCGGGCGGCGCUGGUGGCCUUGAUAGCCCGGGAGGAAGAGUAAUCCUCCCAGCAGUAUUUAUUCUAACUGAUCCGGAGAACUGUCCAUCGUGGUGCUGUGGGCACAUUCAUGAAUGCCUUCUAACUGGUUUCGGCAUAAGGGGAGGGAUAAAGAACCAAGUCUAAGAGGAUGGAGCUGAAUACCUGGAAGACCAGUGAAUCAGAGGAAGGCUACGGUGAAGAAGAGGAAUCUGAGGAGGAGUGUGUAAAAGGGGAAGCUGCCAUCCCUUCUAAUGCCUUUCAGCAGGCACUCUCAAAGACUGACUACAAUACAUUUAGGAAUGGAGUUCCUUUAUACACUGUACCCAAGAAAAUACCAAAGAAAAUUGUAACCCCAGCUGAGCCAGAUCUCUUAGAAGUUGGGAAGAGAAAGAGAAGGCAGAAACACAGAACCCUGGCCAUCAGUCUGACCAACUGCAAGUAUGAGAGUGAAGCACCAGCUCAUCCCUCAAAUGACUGGGCAUCAGAGGAUAUUUAGGGUUGCAGUUUUCACUCUGACGACGGUUCUCGCAAUUUGCUCCCAGCCCCGGGAUCUUGUUCAGUUCAGUUCAGUUCAGUUCAGUCACGCAGUCGAGUCCGACUCUUUGUGAUUCUAUGGACUGCAGCAUGCCAGGCUUCCCUGUCUAUCACCAACUUCUGGAGCUUACUCAAACUCAUG